UGCCACUGAGCUAUAGAUUAAAAGGGAAAGAAAAAAAUGUUAGCCAUCUUCAGCUGUGCAGCAAAGCGUGACAGAUGCACAAUCAGCCCUUUGUAAAGGAGAUACUGAUUUCUGAGCAGCAGAAAACCAUUAUGCUAAAGUCCAUUCUGCAGAGUUUUCCUUCUUGAACGGUCAGGUCUCCAGGAGCCUGCAGAAAAUGAGGCCGGAAGAAUCUUUCCUGAAUUGGUUCAUUUUCAUCACCACUGUCCCUUGAUCGAGAUCGUGGUCUUAAAAUAACAUGAAAUAAAGGUGCCAAGCGCCUCAUUUACCACACGCCAGAUGGACCCAGCUUUUGUGGGCUGUUCCCAGAGCGCAGCGAUAGCAGGGUAUUCCCCCUCCAUGAGCAGCCUGAGCUUUGGACUUAACAGGCCUAAACAUGAAGCCUUAGGGGGGAUUUGGGGGGGGGAUGCCUCAGUGAGAGCUGGUGGGAAUGGUGGGAAAUGCGCUCAGGACUGUGGGAAGCCCAAUUUGUUCCAUGCAGGAAUAAGGCUGAUAAGAUCUUUUAAACAACCAACCUCGCUUCCUAAUGCCUCCUCGUUAUCAGAGCGGGUAAGGGAGUCUGUUUUGCGGGCAGCAAUUUUACAUUACAUCCUACUACCGCUACUAAUGUUAGAGGAAUCAUUUCUUUAUUGCACAUUGACUGUAUUUAGUUACACCUAUUCGACAUAUUGGGCAAUACUGGGAUUCUGUGGCCAUUGUGACCAUUAGGCAAAACACAUGCCCCAUCACAGCAGAAUCCGGAACCGGAGCCCUCAUUCCCUUGAAAGCGAUUCUGUCUGGGUAAGCAAAAUGAAUUUUUUUGUAUCAUCGAAAGCUGUCUAAGCUAUGCUAAAUAGCCUCAUAAAUGCUUUAAGUAAUGAAAACGAAGUAAUUGAAGGGAAAAUGCCCUUAUAUGGUCCAAAACCAUAAACCAAAGCUUCAUAUGUGAAUAAUAGUAAACUCACCAAAGAUAAGUUUAAUACUUUAUUUCUGACUCAUAAUUCCUUCUAAGAGCCUGAACUGAAAUCACUGAAAUACUGAACUAUUUCUAAUGUAAAUCUAAUAAACUUAUUUGGCAUGCAGCUAUUUCUGCUGUUUCUUUAAAUGAAUACCUAUUAAAAGCUGCAGGAAGUCGAGGUUCCUGGUAGAUUUCUAGUCAGGUGAGAUGUUUUAAAAAAACAUCUAAGUGACAAGGUCCUUCCUUUGAGACAAGGAGUAAUUAGUGAACAUCGCCAAGAAAGGAGAAGGAGACAGGCAAAAUUAAACAUACUUAAAAAUCGUGUCAUUUCAGAGGUUGCUUAUACUUCGGAGCGCGCAAGCUGUGCAGAAAUUUUUAGACAGCAGAGGUCACAUUUCUUCCCAAAUGCCAGACCUUUAGCUUACACUCUUCACAUUCUUUAUCUUAUCAUCAUAAUUUUGCAAAACACUUACUAUUAAAAGGAAAAAAAAAAAAAAAAGAAAAAGCAAAGC